CGUCCAUUAGAGAAAUCUUCUCUUGCAGUUUUUGAACCUUCCUCAACUACAUGUGGAUGGUCUGUCUCUACUAUACCAGAUGUUGAAGUUGACACCAUGUCUGUUGGAAGAAGUUGAAUUUGACCUAAAUUUUCUGCUAGGGGAGGCUGAUCUUGGACCAUUAUGAGUUUAUCAAAGGCAUCAUGGACAGAUGUGAAAUUAGAAUGUUCCUUUCCUGAUAACUUACUGUCAGAU
rnacentral:misc_RNA from 1 species